GACUACAGGGGUAUCUAAGCCCGUUCGCUCCCCUAGCUUUCGUGCCUCAGCGUCAGUUCCGGGCCAGAAGGCCGCCUUCGCCACCGGUGUUCCUCCAGAUAUUUACGCAUUUCACCGCUACACCUGGAAUUCCACCUUCCUCUCCCGGACUCAAGCCUGUCAGUUUCAGGGGCAGUCUGUCGGUUGAGCCGACAGAUUUCACCUCUGACUUAACAGGCCGCCUGCGCACCCUUUAUACCCAGUGAAUCCGAACAACGCUUGCACCCCCCGUAUUACCGCGGCUGCUGGCACGGGGUUAGCCGGUGCUUCCUCUGAUGGUACCGUCAAGCCUCGCAGGUAUUAAUCACGAGGUUUUCUUCCCAAUCUGACAGAGCUUUACAACCCAUAGGGCCUUCUUCGCUCACGCGGCGUCGCUCGGUCAGGCUUUCGCCCAUUGCCGAAGCUUCUCGACUGCAGCCCCCCGUAGG
rnacentral:rRNA from 1 species